GAUGAACGCUAGCUACAGGCUUAACACAUGCAAGUCGAGGGGAAACGAUAUUGGAAGCUUGCUUCCGAUAGGCGUCGACCGGCGCACGGGUGAGUAACGCGUAUCCAACCUGUCCAUCACUUGGGGAUAACCUUGCGAAAGUAAGACUAAUACCCAAUGACGUCUCUAGAAGACAUCUGAAGGAGAUUAAAGAUUUAUCGGUGAUGGAUGGGGAUGCGUCUGAUUAGCUUGUUGGCGGGGUAACGGCCCACCAAGGCGACGAUCAGUAGGGGUUCUGAGAGGAAGGUCCCCCACAUUGGAACUGAGACACGGUCCAAACUCCUACGGGAGGCAGCAGUGAGGAAUAUUGGUCAAUGGACGAGAGUCUGAACCAGCCAAGUAGCGUGCAGGAUGACGGCCCUAUGGGUUGUAAACUGCUUUUAUAAGGGAAUAAAGUGAGUCUCGUGAGACUUUUUGCAUGUACCUUAUGAAUAAGGACCGGCUAAUUCCGUGCCAGCAG
rnacentral:rRNA from 1 species